rnacentral:lncRNA from 1 species
UGCCUGCAUGUUGGUCAAUUCUUCCUAUUUUGUUCAGUUUCAGGUGAACAGGAACUCCAAAAACCCUAGAAAUUGAUCAUGCACGUGAAAACAAACCAAAAUCAAUUAGAAAAACAUUAAAAUUAAAUAAAGCAAGGCAAGGAACAAUUAAAACAUAAAAAAUAAACUCUAACAUGAGAAAAUAGUCAAUUCAUAGUAAUCAUACUGCAAUCUUGAUUCAAUUAGAAAAAGAAACUAGAUCUGAUCAUAUAUCAUGCCAAACCGAUUAACAUUCAUGAAAAUAACAAGAAUAGAAAGGAACUAACAUAUUCUAAACAUAUAGACAAUUUAGAUGAGUAGAGUAGCUAAUUAGAAAAUUAUAUAAGAUGGGCGGUAUAAAUAAGAAAGCUAUCCUAAAAAACUUAUAGAACGACAGUUUCAUUAAAGUAGAUAAUUAAAAUAAUAACAUACCUUAUCAUGGAAAAACCAAAUUGAAAAUCCUAAUCAUGCAUAUCUUAACUUAAAUCUUCAUAAUCAUGGCAAAACCUAGUAGAUCUAGCCUAAUCAUAUUGAGAUUCAGAAGGGAAAGAAAUUUAAUCAUGUGAAUAAACUAGCAUAUCUAAAUCAUGCGAGUAACGAAUCUAGACAUAUGAAGACAUAUAUCAAAUCUAGAUCAAGCAUAUGAAAACUAUCAUAUCAUAUUUAAACAAUAAGAAACCAGUAAUAAAGAAAGUAAACAUGAUGAGAUGGUGGAUAAAAAAACCCUCACAUUGUCACCGUAUUGCCUAGUCUCUUAAAUCUCAAGAGGAGGAAGAGAGAUUAGUUUAAAAAUAAGGUAGGAAUCCAAAGUGUUUAGGUUUUGAGAGUGUUAGAAUGUUUUAGUAUUUUUUGCCCAACACUUACCAAGAAUUUUCCAUCAU